AAUUUUGGUUAAUGGGUGAAACCUUGACUCAGCCAGCCCGCGUGUAUUAUGAAGGCCUUCUGUUUGUAAAUUACGUUCGUUAGAGAAGUAAAGGUAUCUCCUGAUACGAGAUACUGUUGACUGAAUCUGCUGAAUAAGCAUUGACUAGCUACGUGCCAGCAGCCGUGGUAAUACGUAGGGUGCAAGCGUUAAUUGGAAUUACUGGGCGUAAGGCGUGUGUAGGCGGUUCGUAAAGAAAGAUGUGAAAUCCCAGGGCUCAACCUUGGAACUGCAUUUUAAACUGCCAAGCUAGAGUAUGUAAGAGGGGGGUAGAAUUCCAAGUGUAGCAGUGAAAUGCGUAGAUAUGUGGAGGAAUACCGAUGGCGAAGGCAGCCCCCUGGAAUAAUACUGACGCUCAGACACGAAAGCGUGGGGAGCAAACA
rnacentral:rRNA from 1 species